rnacentral:snoRNA from 14 species
CGACAAUUGUUCCUUUUGUAAAACAAUUAUUAUUUUGCAAAAUUUUAAGGUUGUCGUAGAUCAGUACAGAAUAUCUUCACCCCAAAUGACUUAGAGGUGGUAGAAUUUUGGGUUUUGACUAUUCUGACAUCA